GCCGGGCGGGGUGCUAUACAUGCAGUCGAGCGGACAGAUGGGAGCUUGCUCCCUGAUGUUAGCGGCGGACGGGUGAGUAACACGUGGGUAACCUGCCUGUAAGACUGGGAUAACUCCGGGAAACCGGGGCUAAUACCGGAUGGUUGUUUGAACCGCAUGGUUCAAACAUAAAAGGUGGCUUCGGCUACCACUUACAGAUGGACCCGCGGCGCAUUAGCUAGUUGGUGAGGUAACGGCUCACCAAGGCAACGAUGCGUAGCCGACCUGAGAGGGUGAUCGGCCACACUGGGACUGAGACACGGCCCAGACUCCUACGGGAGGCAGCAGUAGGGAAUCUUCCGCAAUGGACGAAAGUCUGACGGAGCAACGCCGCGUGAGUGAUGAAGGUUUUCGGAUCGUAAAGCUCUGUUGUUAGGGAAGAACAAGUACCGUUCGAAUAGGGCGGUACCUUGACGGUACCUAACCAGAAAGCCACGGCUAACUACGUGCCAGCAGCCGCGGUAAUACGUAGGUGGCAAGCGUUGUCCGGAAUUAUUGGGCGUAAAGGGCUCGCAGGCGGUUUCUUAAGUCUGAUGUGAAAGCCCCCGGCUCAACCGGGGAGGGUCAUUGGAAACUGGGGAACUUGAGUGCAGAAGAGGAGAGUGGAAUUCCACGUGUAGCGGUGAAAUGCGUAGAGAUGUGGAGGAACACCAGUGGCGAAGGCGACUCUCUGGUCUGUAACUGACGCUGAGGAGCGAAAGCGUGGGGAGCGUACAGGAUUAGAUACCCUGGUAGUCCACGCCGUAAAAGAUUGAGUGCUGAGUGUUAGGAGGUUUCCGCCCCUUAGUGGUGCAACUAACGCAUCAAUCACACCACCCGGCGAGUAC
rnacentral:rRNA from 1 species